ACAACUUUCAACAAUGGAUCUCUUGGCUCUCGCAUCGAUGAAGAACACAGCGAAAUGUGAUAAGUAAUGUGAAUUGCAGAAUCCAGUGAAUCAUCGAAUCUUUGAACGCAUCUUGCGCUCCUUGGUAUUCUGAGGAGCAUGCCUGUUUGAGUGUCGUUAAA
rnacentral:rRNA from 1 species